rnacentral:rRNA from 1 species
UACAGAGGUCUCAAGCGUUGUUCGGAUUCAUUGGGCGUAAAGGGUGCGUAGGCGGCGCGGUAAGUCGGGUGUGAAAUUUCGAGGCUUAACUUCGAAACUGCAUUCGAUACUGCCGUGCUAGAGGACUGGAGAGGAGACUGGAAUUCAUGGUGUAGCAGUGAAAUGCGUAGAGAUCAUGAGGAAGACCAGUGGCGAAGGCGGGUCUCUGGACAGUUCCUGACACUGAGACACGAAGGCCAGGGGAGCAAACGGG